rnacentral:rRNA from 1 species
UCAGUUCAGAUUGCAGGCUGCAACCCGCCUGCAUGAAGUCGGAAUUGCUAGUAAUCGCGGAUCAGCAUGCCGCGGUGAAUACGUUCCCGGGCCUUGUACACACCGCCCGUCACACCAUGGGAGCCGGUAAUACCCGAAGUCAGUAGUCCAACCUCGUGAGGACGCUCGCCGAAGGUAGGAUUGGCGACUCGGGGUGAAGUCGUAACAAGGUACC